AUACGGAGGGUGCAAGCGUUAAUCGGAAUUACUGGGCGUAAAGCGCUCGUAGGCGGUUGAUUAAGUCGGAUGUGAAAGCCCAGGGCUCAACCUUGGAACUGCAUUCGAUACUGGUCGACUAGAGUACAGUAGAGGCAAGUGGAAUUUCCUGUGUAGCGGUGAAAUGCGUAGAUAUAGGAAGGAACAUCAGUGGCGAAGGCGACUUGCUGGACUGAUACUGACGCUGAGGAGCGAAAGCGUGGGGAGCGAACGGGAUUAGAUACCCCGGUAGUCC
rnacentral:rRNA from 1 species